AGAGUUUGAUUCUGGCUCAGAUUGAACGCUGGCGGCGUGCUUAACACAUGCAAGUCGAACGAGAAAGUUCCUUCGGGAAUGAGUAGAGUGGCGCACGGGUGAGUAACGCGUGGAUAAUCUACCGGGGAGUGGGGAAUAACAGUUGGAAACGGCUGCUAAUACCGCAUACGCUGCAUAUAUGUCUAUGCAGGAAAGGGGGCCUCUGCAUAUGCUUCCGCUUUUCGAUGAGUCCGCGUCCCAUUAGCUUGUUGGCGGGGUAACGGCCCACCAAGGCGACGAUGGGUAGCUGGUCUGAGAGGAUGACCAGCCACACUGGGACUGGAACACGGCCCAGACUCCUACGGGAGGCAGCAGUGGGGAAUAUUGCGCAAUGGGCGAAAGCCUGACGCAGCGACGCCGCGUGAGGGAUGAAGGUUUUCGGAUCGUAAACCUCUGUCAGAAGGGAAGAAGUUGCAUGGGGCCAAUCACCUGUGCAUUGACGGUACCUUCAAAGGAAGCACCGGCUAACUCCGUGCCAGCAGCCGCGGUAAUACGGAGGGUGCGAGCGUUAAUCGGAAUUACUGGGCGUAAAGCGCACGUAGGCUGUAUGUCAAGUCAAGGGUGAAAUCCCACGGCUCAACCGUGGAACUGCCUUUGAAACUGGCAAACUGGAGUAUGUGAGAGGGCGGCGGAAUUCCUGGUGUAGGAGUGAAAUCCGUAGAUAUCAGGAGGAACAUCAGUGGCGAAGGCGGCCGCCUGGCACAAAACUGACGCUGAGGUGCGAAAGCGUGGGUAGCAAACAGGAUUAGAUACCCUGGUAGUCCACGCUGUAAACGAUGGAUACUGGGUGUUGGGUUUUAUUGACUCGGCGCCGUAGCUAACGCGUUAAGUAUCCCGCCUGGGGAGUACGGUCGCAAGGCUGAAACUCAAAGAAAUUGACGGGGGCCCGCACAAGCGGUGGAGUAUGUGGUUUAAUUCGAUGCAACGCGAAGAACCUUACCCAGGCUUGACAUCCAGGGAACCCAUGUGAAAGCGUGGGGUACUCUUCGGAGGACCCUGAGACAGGUGCUGCAUGGCUGUCGUCAGCUCGUGCCGUGAGGUG
rnacentral:rRNA from 1 species